UUUUGUCUUUCAAACAUUUCGAGAAGGAACUCAAUUCACUUUUUGCGAGAUUUUCACUAGUUUCUAGACAGUGCCUUCGAGAAACAGACGUUGAUGGUCAACAGUAAUAUACAAGAACUUGAGGAUAAAAAUCACGAGGAAUGCGAUUUGUUUCAAAAGUACAUCAGCAACGAUGAUAUUUUGGAUGGCAUCGUAAGAAGAUGGUGGACGAGCUUACAGGAAUGAUUUACCAUCAAGGUAUUUUUACGAUCAGACUUAUGGCGCGUGCAAAUAUUUAUUGUACAAAUAGGAUAUUGUGUCCCCAAUGAUCCGUUUGUAACCUUUACGCAGCGGAAUUUGUAGCGUUGUUGGUGUAAAUCAUUCGUAACUUGAGUUGAAUAACAAAACAUAUUCGUUCAUUUAA